GCGCCUUGCCAGCCCGCUCAGAAACUUAAAGGAAUUGACGGGGCCCGCACAAGCGGAGGAACAUGUGGUUUAAUUCGAUGAUACGCGAGGAACCUUACCUGGGCUAGAACGCAUUCGGAAUCAGGCCGAAAGGCCUGCGCCAGCGAUGGCCGCUUGCGAGGUGCUGCAUGGUUGUCGUCAGCUCGUGCCGUGAGGUGUCGGGUUAAGUCCCAUAACGAGCGCAACCCCUACUGCUAGUUGCCAGCGGGUCAUGCCGGGGACUCUAGCGGAACUGCCAGCGUAAGCUGCGAGGAAGGUGGGGAUGACGUCAAAUCAGCACGGCCCUUACGUCCAGGGCUACACACGUGUUACAAUGGCCGGUACAGAGGGCAGCCACCCCGCGAGGGGGCGCGAAUCCCGAAAGCCGGUCCCAGUUCGGAUCGGAGUCUGCAACCCGACUCCGUGAAGCUGGAUUCGCUAGUAAUCGCGCAUCAGCCACGGCGCGGUGAAUACGUUCCCGGGCCUU
rnacentral:rRNA from 1 species